rnacentral:rRNA from 1 species
AUUGAACGCUGGCGGCAGGCCUAACACAUGCAAGUCGAGCGGCAGCGGGAAAGUAGCUUGCUACUUUUGCCGGCGAGCGGCGGACGGGUGAGUAAUGCCUGGGAAAUUGCCCAGUCGAGGGGGAUAACAGUUGGAAACGACUGCUAAUACCGCUUACGCCCUACGGGGGAAAGCAGGGGACCUUCGGGCCUUGGGCGAUUGGAUAUGCCCAGGUGGGAUUAGCUAGUUGGUGAGGUAAUGGAUCACCAAGGCGACGAGCCCUAGCUGGUCUGAGAGGAUGAUCAGCCACACUGGAACUGAGACACGGUCCAGACUCCUACGGGAGGCAGCAGUGGGGAAUAUUGCACAAUGGGGGAAACCCUGAUGCAGCCAUGCCGCGUGUGUGAAGAAGGCCUUCGGGUUGUAAAGCACUUUCAGCGAGGAGGAAAGGUUGAUGCCUAAUACGUAUCAACUGUGACGUUACUCGCAGAAGAAGCACCGGCUAACUCCGUGCCAGCCGCCGCCGUAAAAC